CCCAAUUUCCCGGCGCAAGCAGUGGUACUCGCAGACGAGCGUGAUGGGAUUCGUGCUAUGGACCCUGCUUACCCCAGAAUCAGCGAGCUGAAUCUGGAAAUAAACAGGGUAGUCAACGAACAUAAGCGGAAUUUGUGGCUGGAACACUUGGAGCAAUGUAACUUAGGCACCGGUGCAGGCAAACUGUGGGCCACAGUUAAGUCUCUCUUGAACCCCGGUAGACGGGACGACAGGACCUCAGUCACUUUUGGCGAGAUAACCGUGACUGAUCCGAAGAGAUGCGCCAGGUUGUUCAACCGUCAAUUUAUUGUGCAUCCCGAGAGAGACAGGGCAAGGAGGAGAGCCAUUCGCCAUAUUCGUGGUCUCCGAGCCGAUGAACAGCCAUCACAAUUUACCGUGGGUGAAGUUACAAAUGUCAUCUGGCGCCAAAUCAUAUAAGGCAUUGGGCCCCGACGGAAUCUCUACAUUGAUGCUGAAGAAUCUGGAUUCACCUGGAGUUGAGUACCUUACCACUGUCCUCAACCUGUCAUUGAACACUUUCAUAGUUCCCGAUGUCUGGAAAAUGGGCAGAGUGAUCCCGCUACUGAAGCCUGGAAAAGACCCGAGUUUAAGGGAGUCGUACAGACCGAUCUCCCUUCUCUCACUAGUGGCGAAGACGCUUGAGGCAUUACUCCUCCCGAGCCUCGUAGGAGAAUUUCCAUUCGCCGAGCGUCAACAUGGAUUUCGGAAACUGCACAGCACAACAACAGCUUUGCAUGCCAUAACCACACACAUUUGCCGUGGCUUCAAUCAACCCAGGCCAUGUGAUAGGACGGUCCUCGUGGCACUGGACCUAUCGAAGGCAUUCGACACGGUCAGCCAUGCCAAAUUAUUUGAGGACAUUGCCAACACGUCCCUCCAGCCAGGCCUAAAACGAUGGGUCGCGAAUUAUCUGUGUGGUCGCCAGUAUUUGUGGAAUUUAGGGAUAAGAAGUCGAAACACCGUAGAGUGAAACAGGGAGUUCCCCAAGGUGGGGUGAUAUCUCCGGCUCUGUUUAAUCUCUACCUAUCCUCCAUCCCACCCCCUCCAGACGGCAUAGAGAUCGUUUCAUAUGCGGAAGAUUGUACGAUCAUGGCAUCAGGCCCCCCACCCAUUGAUGACAUCUGCGAUAGGUUGAACGCCUACCUCAACGAGCUUGGCUCAUAUUUCGCUGCAAGAAAUCUGAAGAUAUCCGCCACUGAGCUGACUGUGAUGGUCGAUGGAGAAAUGAUUCCGACCAUCAAGUGUCCCAAAAUACUUGGCGUCACAUUUGACAGCUCUUACACUUUCUCCCCACAUGCCACAGCAAUCUGCAAUAGUCAAAAGUAGAAACAAGGUCCUCAAAUCACUCGCUGGCAGCACUUGGGGUGCAGACAAAGAACCCUUGUUAACCACGUACAAAGCAAUUGGCCGGUCUGUGGUAAGUUAUGCAGCGCCAGUGUGGUCUCGACAACGCAGUGGAAUAAGAAGCGGGCUGUCUCCUCAGUUCUCAUGUGGACCUCCUCCAUCAGGAGACAAAGAUCCUACCAGUGCGAAGACAUAACUACAUGCUAUCUAAACAAUACCUUUUGGGCUGUUAUCGCAGAAACCAUCCAAAUCAUCAUCUUGUGGAUAGAUAUCCACCGUCCAGAAGCCUUAAAGUAGAUCUACACGAUCUAGAGCGUGAGGUUCAGCGCUACAAGAGAGAACCUCUAGAUCAAGCGGGUCUGAACAACAUUCAUGCAGACACGGUAGCAGACGCGGUAAUUGGCUACCGGGUGAAUGUAGUCCUUGGAGAACGACCGCCACCCGUUGCACCCGAAGAAAUCAUUGAAAAGCAUGAAGCAAACAACGGUUUAUUCCGGCCUGGAAAUCAUCUGGUAAAUCACGAUGAUCGCUGAAAAGGAGCAACAUCAUCCGCAAUAAUGAAAAUUGAACAAAUAGAUAAAUCUUAACAGUACGGUAGAUUAUUUACAUAAAAAAGAAAAAGCAAAGGGCCCAAGACUGAACCUUGAGGAACACUGGAGAUGAAAUAUAAUAUACAUUGCCACUAAUGUCUAUAAAUUGAGACCUUCCACACAAAUAUGCAAGGACUGGAAUAUUGGCUGGAACAUUGAGGUCCGAUAUGUGUGGUGUUCAUUGCUGUGAUGAGAGGCUUAGCUGCAAGUUUCCGGACAGGUUGCGGAUAGUAGAGUGCCCCAUACGGAGAAGCUGCAACGGCAAUCGCGGACAAUUAGCGAUACCGAGCGGAGAGCCACAGUGACAGGCCGGGCGGCACCAGCUCUUGCACAAUCACUGAGUGCCUAUGAUGCUCGAUAUAACAAGGCGAGUUAUUGGCGCUCUUAAAUAACCAAUGGCCAUUCUGUUCCCACGGCCAUCGGUCCUUUGGACCGGAACGAGCUUGCUCACUUACGGGAGGACGAGGAUCGCCACCUCCACAUGAAAAUGUGGCUACAAAAAACGACAUCAACAUUUUAAAACUAAACGCUUUAGUUAAGUCAUGGAAAUCAACACUCUAUCUAAACAAGCAAAUUGCGCAAGAAUCUGAUCCUUCAUAAUGUUCUUACAAACCAUCGAUAAUGAGUAUAAUUGAAAUGGGCGUCAGAUCAUCCGGACCACUGACAGAAAUUGUUUAAGAAAUAGCCUACAUGACUACACAUGCGGUUUUCCAAGCAGUUGGAAAAACAGAGGAAGUUAACUUCAUGACCCCCAAUGCAGCCAUAUACGCGAAGAACUAUCCACAAACCAUCCGCGGGCAUCCCCUUGAACCGUCCCAAAUAGUGAAUCUGCCUCUCCUUAGGAUCUAUUCGAGAUCUAGGUCCAUUCGCUUUGUACUUCAAGUAGGCCAGGCCUCCAGGAACUAAUGAAAUGAUAUCCUCAAAAAGUGAAGAGACGAGAAAACACUUAUCAUCGACUUCCGGUGCGUUAAAAAUAGCUGAGAAAUCAAAAUCCAUUAAAUAACUAAGCAUACCAAACAUAUCAAUGUGCUUGUAAUCAUGGUAUUCCACAAAUGUCUCCGCUUUACUUAAAUGGAUGUCUAAAACUCCAAAUGCUAAUGCAUGGCUAGAGAUUGCACGGCACUGAACCUGACCAGUUGUAAACCUAUUUUAAUUACAACUCAAGAGCAUAAAUUCAAUCAGACUCGUUAUACCGUGCUCUACAUCGUAAUGAGUGAAAUAUUAAAUAAGUUGCAAUUAGAAGAAACAGAGAUUCACAACUCUCCAAAUUCGAACUACAAAAAACCGGUUUAUGCCGAAGUGAUGAAGAAAUAUAUAUGCCAACACCACCACCUCUGGAAACUUUACGAUUGUUUCCAUGGAAGGUGUAUCCUGAAACUUCAACAGAACGUGAAGAAACCGCAGACUUUAGCUAAGCCAUAGACUGUCUAAAAAUAUCAAGAAUAGACUCACAUAAAAUCGCAAUUUGAAUUGUUAAUUUUAAUGGGUCAUUUUUAAGCAAAUAAAAGGUUUAAUAGAAAUAAUGUAAUCAUUAUAAAGAUAAUAUUUGAA